rnacentral:lncRNA from 1 species
AUGUCUGGCACUGAGGAAGCAAUUUUUGGAGAGCGUGACAGCCAUACUGCUGCUCAUGGCAGCUUGGUGUGCUUUGGACAGUGCCAGUACACAGCAGAAGAGUACCAGGCCAUCCAGAAGGCCCCGAGGCAGAGGCUGGGCCCAGAAUACAUAAGUAGCCCAUGACUGGAGGAGGCCAGAAGGUGUGUUACAUUGAGGGUCAUUGGGUAAUUAAUCUGGCCAAUGACAUGUUUGGUUACAACGGCAGGGCACACUCCAUCACGCAGCAGAAUGUGGAUUUUGUUGACCUAAACAAUGGCAAGUUCUACAUGGGAGUCUGUGCAUUUGUGAGGGUCCAGUUGUAGGAUGGUUCAUAUCAUGAAGUUGUGGGUUAUGGUGUUAGGGCCUCAAGUCCAAGGCCUCAUCUUUGGAGAAGGCAAGGAAGGAGGCGGUGACAGACGGGCUAAAGCAAGCCCCCAGGAGUUUUCGGAACGCACUUGGAAAUUGUAUUCUGGACAGAGACUACUUGAGGUCACUAAACAAGCUUCCACGCCAGCUGCCUCUUGAAGUGGAUUAAACUAAAGCAAAGAGACAAGAUUUUGAACCAUCUGUGGAAGAGGCAAGAUACAACAGCUGCCAACUGAACAUGGCCCUGGGAUACCCACAGCUUCAAGAUGUGACCUCCCCUUGCAGAUCAAGCCACGUUGUGAUUCAGGGGGACAAGGACUGCAGCUUCCUGACUUCUGAGCUCAUCCACUAUUGGUGAGAGAGGCCACGAACCAGCAGAAGUUCUGGCAAAAGCAGCUGCUGCAGCAGUUCUGGGAGCAGAUGGAGAAACAGCAAGUCCACACCUUUUCCCCAUCAGUUGAGAAGAGUGAGGAGACUCUUGGAGACAACUCUGAAAUGUGGGAUGUGACUCCAGAUGCAGGGGAUGGUGUGGUCAAGCCUUGUCUAGAGAAGAACCACCCCAGACCUCUGACACACCAGCCUUGAACAACCAGAUGGUGACCCAGAACAGGACUCCACACAGCCUUUGCUGUCAGAAACCACAAGCAAAAUCUGGACCUUGAGACCUCCAAACUUACAGCACUGACCAAUGCAUAACAGGAAACUGGGAAUCUCAUAGGAAGGGCCAGGACAUGAAGAAAAGGAAAUUGGAUCCAUCUUAA